rnacentral:rRNA from 1 species
AUUGAACGCUGGCGGCAGGCUUAACACAUGCAAGUCGAGCGGGCGAGGUUGCUUCGGUAACUUAGCUAGCGGCGGACGGGUGAGUAAUGCUUAGGAAUCUGCCUAUUAGUGGGGGACAACAUUCCGAAAGGGAUGCUAACACCGCAUACGUCCUACGGGAGAAAGCAGGGGCUCUUUAUGACCUUGCGCUAAUAGAUGAGCCUAAGUCGGAUUAGCUAGGUGGUGGGGUAAAGGCCUACCAAGGCGACGAUGUGUAGCGGGUCUGAGAGGAUGAUCCGCCACACUGGGACUGAGACACGGCCCAGACGCCGACGGGAGGCAGCAGUGGGGAAUAUUGGACAAUGGGGGGAACCCUGAUCCAGCCAUGCCGCGUGUGUGAAGAAGGCCUUUUGGUUGUAAAGCACUUUAAGUGGGGAGGAGGCUUACCUAGUUAAUACCUGGGCUAAGUGGACGUUACCCACAGAAUAAGCACCGGCUAACUCUGUGCCAGCCGCCGCAGUAACAC